rnacentral:hammerhead_ribozyme from 1 species
AUCCAACUGACGAGUCCCAAAUAAAACGAAACGCACUUCCUGUAU